UUCAAAAGCAAAAAAUAACUUAAAUAUCAUUUUGAUCAAAUUAUAAGCUUACCCAAACACUCUUAAUAGCCUCCAACGCGUCUGUCAAACACAGAAGCACGCAUCUUGUUUUUCCCAAGAAAACCAGCGUAUGGUCCUUUCAGAUUACCCAAAAACUCACCAAGAACAUUUUCCUUCUUCUCCAUUCUCUCUCCCUCAUCUAUCACCACCAAAAAAAUGGAAACCCUAAGACCUCUGUAGUUGCCGUCGACUGCCACCCUUACCACGCGGGAAUCUCUAUUUCUCAUCACCCAUCAACUCGUGAAUCCACAAAACACCAAAAAAGCAAGCCCCAAAUUCAUACAACAGAAUAAAAUCAUUUGGACCUUAAUGUCCGAAUUUAUGCCUAUAAAUGGUGACUUCUCCAUUCUCAUGUGAGGACAAGGUUGCAGAUCCGUGAGAAAGGAAAAAAAAAAGAGAUAAAUCGAGAGGAAAGAAGCGAGAGAGGUAUAAAAGAGGCUUAACUUUGGAGAAAAAAUAGAGAGAAAGGCAAAGAAAGGAGGCCAAAAUUGAAAAAAAAAGAAAACAAAAAAAGGUUGAAAAGGGGCUGGAAACAGGUUUGAAAUUGAGAAUAAGAAGAGUGAAAAAAUCUGUGAAUUAAGUUUCGGAAAGACAGAAAAGGGGGUUGAAAAACCAGAAGUUUUUUUAUUUUUUUAUUUCAAUUGUCGAUACAGAUUCGGAGUUUCGAGUUUAGUUCUUCGUCCAAAGUAUCCUGACGUCGAAGCCGAGUUUGCUGCCCAAAAUAAGAUUCACAUAUUCAGGUAUAAUACAAACAAGAUUCACAUAUUCAGGUAUAACUCAUUCCAUCUCACAAAUUCUGUUGUUGUCUUAAUAUUUUCUGCUAUUUGAAUAUAUUUUAAUUUUUGUUGCUCAUAACUAACCUUCUUUAUUUAUCCACCUACCAACAAGAUUCACGUAUUCAUGUAUAAUUCUUUUCAUCUCACAAUUUUACCUCUAAAAAGUUUACCUCUAUUAUCAUACUAUACGUUUUUGUUGUCCUAACCUUCACGAAUGAUUUCUUAAAGAUUGUCUUACGAUAGAUUCUAUCACCGAAGUUGUGGGAAUCAACACGUUGAAGCCAAACGAGUGUAUCUAAAUGAUCAAAGUCUUGGUCAUCGAAAGCGGGCCAACGAAAUCGUUUAAGAAUGAAGAUGGCUUCCAAAAAACGGCGAUAUUAAUUGACGAGGAGAUAUAUUUGACAUCUUCAUAAGUUCUAUACUCUUCACAAAAGGCGCAACUCGAAUAGAGAUGUAACUUAUGAAUGAGGAGUGUGAUCGAAAAAUUAUUACAUUAUGGUGCAAAUUGUCAAUAGAAGAUGCGCUUCUACGGAAAAUUCUGUCGGAGCAUUUUGUGAUUUAAGGACUAAACUAUAUCAAGAAAAUUUUGGACUAUCUUCUACCUAUAUCAGUAGUAUGUGGAUAGACUCCACAUUUGAAAAAGCAACAUCUCUCCUACAAUGGUCUAUUUCUCAGAAAAAAACUCACAAAGAUAUUACUCUACUACCAAGUAAAUAAAUUAAAAGGGCAAAAGAAAUGACAAUUGGUGAAAUUGUAGAUCGUUUGUCCUGUGAUAAAGAGGUUGAAUAUGGCAAGUUUACUGCAGCUAUUGUAGCUACAGCGAAUGUUAAUGACCUCUACUAUGAUGCUUGCACUAAUUGCUAUAAAAAAGUUAACAUCAACGAUAAUAUUGCAAAAUGUCCUGACUUCCCCACGGGAAAAAUUACUUACGAGGACAGGUUCUGAAAAUACACAGUUACUUUAGAUUCAAUUACUGCCCAAGACAUUGCAUUUGUUCAAUUAUUUACUUUUAGUUCUUGACAUAUGUAUCUUGGCCUAAAACACAUAGGUUUGUCUAUGUAGACAAUGCAUAUUAAUUUUAUGCACAUAAAACAAACAUGUUAAUAAAGUUGGCACUCACUUUCUGAUCUA